GGGUGCUGGUAGGGAAGACAGGAAGGGGACAGCGAAGCACGGAGAGAUCUGAGCCUGUGCAGUUGCGGCCCGCACUGAAACCUGUUACCAUCGGCUGUCGCCUCCAUUGUGGGCUGGGAACCCAGGAAGGAAACACUCCACAGUGUUCUUAGGCGUCCCCCACGUCCCCUGGAGAAGCACAAAAGAGCACAGGCCUUAAGUCUUCUUCCCCUUUGACAGAUCCAGAAGGGACCAUUAGAUCAUCUUGUCUGUGUAUCAUACACGAGUACAUUUUACCCAGUCAUCCGAGCCCAGUCACCUGUGUUUGGCGAACACAUCCUCCAGGAAGGCAGACAGGCUGGAUUUGAAGAGGGCCAGUGAUGGAGACUCCUCUUCAGGGCACCUUUAAAGAAAGCCAUGAAAAAGCAUUCCACCCAACUCUCCAACUUUAGGCUCCCUGAAGCCAACCCUGUAAGCUGUGUCGUCAGUCGCCCCUCUCUCCGUCAGAGCAA